rnacentral:tRNA from 1 species
UCCCUGGUUGUCUAGCGAUUAGGAUGCAGCACUUUCAAUGCUGCAGCCCAGGUUCAACCUCUGGUUUGGGAA